UUGGCGGACGGGUGAGAAACACGUGAGUAACCUGCCUUUCACUGGGGAAUAACAUCGAGAAAUCGGUGCUAAUACCGCAUAAUGUCACGAGACCGCAUGGUUUUGUGACCAAAGGAGUAAUCCGGUGAUAGAUGGACUCGCGUCCGAUUAGAUAGUUGGUGAGGUAACGGCCCACCAAGUCUACGAUCGGUAGCCGAACUGAGAGGUUGAUCGGCCACAUUGGGACUGAGACACGGCCCAGACUCCUACGGGAGGCAGCAGUGGGGAAUAUUGGGCAAUGGGCGAAAGCCUGACCCAGCAACGCCGCGUGAAGGAAGAAGGUCUUCGGAUUGUAAACUUCUUUGAUCAGGGACGAAUAAAUGACGGCACCUGAAGAACAAGCCACGGCUAACUACGUGCCAGCAGCCGCGGUAAU
rnacentral:rRNA from 2 species